UACGUAGGGUGCGAGCGUUAAUCGGAAUUACUGGGCGUAAAGCGUGCGCAGGCGGUUCGCUAAGACCGAUGUGAAAUCCCCGGGCUUAACCCGGGAACUGCAUUGGUGACUGGCGGGCUAGAGUAUGGCAGAGGGGGGUAGAAUUCCACGUGUAGCAGUGAAAUGCGUAGAGAUGUGGAGGAAUACCGAUGGCGAAGGCAGCCCCCUGGGCCAAUACUGACGCUCAUGCACGAAAGCGUGGGGAGCAAACAGG
rnacentral:rRNA from 1 species